rnacentral:rRNA from 1 species
UGGAAGUAAAAGUCGUAACAAGGUCUCCGUUGGUGAACCAGCGGAGGGAUCAUUACUGAGUUUACGCUCUACAACCCUUUGUGAACAUACCUAUAACUGUUGCUUCGGCGGGUAGGGUCUCCGUGACCCUCCCGGCCUCCCGCCCCCGGGCGGGUCGGCGCCCGCCGGAGGAUAACCAAACUCUGAUUUAACGACGUUUCUUCUGAGUGGUACAAGCAAAUAAUCAAAACUUUUAACAACGGAUCUCUUGGUUCUGGCAUCGAUGAAGAACGCAGCGAAAUGCGAUAAGUAAUGUGAAUUGCAGAAUUCAGUGAAUCAUCGAAUCUUUGAACGCACAUUGCGCCCGCCAGCAUUCUGGCGGGCAUGCCUGUUCGAGCGUCAUUUCAACCCUCAAGCUCUGCUUGGUGUUGGGGCCCUACAGCUGAUGUAGGCCCUCAAAGGUAGUGGCGGACCCUCCCGGAGCCUCCUUUGCGUAGUAACUUUACGUCUCGCACUGGGAUCCGGAGGGACUCUUGCCGUAAAACCCCCAAUUUUCCAAAGGUUGACCUCGGAUC